AUUCCUCAAUCUUCUUGGAUUUUAUUCAAGAUAGAUUGGAUGUGGAAGCUGCUGUUUAAUCUUGAACAGCUCUUCUGAAAUGCAUUAGUGUGAAUGUUACCGAACGUUCUCCAGUGUAAUAAUUAUUUGCGCUGCUAGAGCCUUGGUAGAAUAUUGUUCAUGCUUCAAACCGUCUGCUUGCAGACAAUAACCUUUGC
rnacentral:misc_RNA from 1 species